GCGAAGAUAAACCAGUAAGGUGCCCGUAAGGGAGAAUAGGGAAGUCCGGUGAGAAUCCGGCGCGGUCCCGCCACUGUGACGGGGACUUUGGUUGAGAGAUGCCACUGUUGCCUUAGUGCGAUGGGAAGGUUCAGCCAAGGGAUGAUCCAAAGCCAGGAGACCUGCCUUUCUGGAGUUAGUAGG
rnacentral:ncRNA from 2 species